UCAGUCGGCCGGACGGCCGCUCCGGCACCGGCCGAAAGGCCGCCGGGGAGGAAAGUCCGGGCUCCAUCGACAUGCGGUGCCGGAUAACGUCCGGCGGGGGCGACCCCAGGGAAAGUGCCACAGAGAACGAACCGCCCGCCUCCCUCGGGACGGCGGGUAAGGGUGAAAAGGUGCGGUAAGAGCGCACCGCGUCGCCGGCAACGGCAACGGCAUGGCAAACCACACCGGGAGCAAAACCGAAUAGGGACGGCGCAGCGGUUGGUUCGCGCAAGCGAUAACACCGCGAGAUCGUGUCGGAUCUGCCGUCCGGGUAGGUUGCUUGAGGCAAUGUGCGAACAUUGUCCCAGACGAAUGGUCGUCACGCGUCGUCCGUGCGAACGGGCGAUGCCCUACAGAACCCGGCUUACAGGCUGGCUGAUAUU
rnacentral:RNase_P_RNA from 1 species